GACGCCGCGCCGCGCACAUCUAGCCAGUCUCGUUACGGACCAUGCGCGGUACAGACGUGUGUUGUAAUUUCACAAAUAUUAAAGUAAUUAUUCAGUAAAAAGAUCCAGAAUUAUAGAUCUCCCUGCCUCGUCCGAGAUGACCUCGAGAAUCUUCCACAAAAGCGGUGUCAGAGAGGCGCGGAGUGUUAUUAAAGUUGCUGCAGUGCUGACUGUAUACCUCACGGGUGGCCGG